GACGAACGCUGGCGGCGCGCCUAACACAUGCAAGUCGAACGAGCGAGAGAGAGCUUGCUUUCUCGAGCGAGUGGCGAACGGGUGAGUAACGCGUGAGGAACCUGCCCCAAAGAGGGGGACAACAGUUGGAAACGACUGCUAAUACCGCAUAAGCCCACGGUGCCGCUUGGCACAGAGGGAAAAGUAGCAAUCCGCUUUGAGAUGGCCUCGCGUCCGAUUAGCUAGUUGGUGAGGUAAUGGCCCACCAAGGCGACGAUCGGUAGCCGGAAUGAGAGGGUGAACGGCCACAUUGGGACUGAGACACGGCCCAGACGCCUAUGGGAGGCAGCAGCGGGGAAUAUUGCACAAUGGGGGAAACCCUGAUGCAGCGACGCCGCGUGGAGGAAGAAGGUCUUCGGAUUGUAAACUCCUGUUGUUGGUGAAGAUAAUGACGGUACCCAACAAGGAAGUGACGGCUAACUACGUA
rnacentral:rRNA from 1 species